GUCCCCGUAGCUUAACGGAUAAAGUAGCUGCCUUCGAAGCAGUUGAUGGGGGUUCGAUUCCCUCCGGGGACA
rnacentral:tRNA from 1 species